rnacentral:tRNA from 2 species
GCGGGUAUAACUCAGUGGUAGAGUGCCACCUUGCCAAGGUGGAAGUCGAGAGUUCGAAUCUCUUUGCCCGCUCCA